rnacentral:rRNA from 1 species
UACGUAGGGACCGAGCGUUGUCCGGAAUCAUUGGGCGUAAAGAGCGUGUAGGCGGCCACUUAAGUCCUGCGUGAAAUCUUGCGGCUCAACCGCAAGCGGUCGUGGGAAACUGGGUGGCUAGAGUAGGGCAGAGGGUGGUGGAAUUUUCCUGUGUAGCGGCGAAAUGCGUAGAUAUAGGAAGGAACACCAGUGGCGAAGGCGACCACCUGGGCUCAUACUGACACUGAGGUGCGAAAGCGUGGGGAGCAAACAGG